rnacentral:lncRNA from 1 species
CCCUGGGGAGAGCAGCUUCCUAGCCGUGGACGGUGAUGCCGGCUGUUCACGCAGGCGGUGGUUCAAGACCAAGUGCUGACCUGCAGGAAGAGGCAUGCGGUCUCACUGUGUCACCUGCUGAGCGGAACCUCCCUCCUCCUCGGGGACCCGCGUGGAAGCCUGGCCUUGGGUCCCUCUGCCCUGGCCCCGGGCACACAGCUGCUCCCCUGUCGAAACUGCACAGGAAGCAAGCGAAGCAUGGGGCCAGAGACGCCCACGAGCGGCAGCUCUGCUGCAGGAGCUGGUCUUGGUUGGCACCAGUCGAGCUUCUCCUUCCCACCUUCUCCAAACAGACAGUCGGUCACUGCUGAGCAAAGCAGG